rnacentral:rRNA from 1 species
CUUGUUCUGUACAGGCCUAACUGCAUAACGUUGAACACAUGCAAGUCGAGCGGCAGCGGGACCUUCGGGUGCCGGCGAGCGGCGGACGGGUGAGCCAGUGAUAGGAAUCUGCCUGUUAGUGGGGGAUAACGCGGGGAAACUCGCGCUAAUACCGCAUACGUCCUACGGGAGAAAGCGGGGGCUGUGCGGACCUCGCGCUAACAGAUGAGCCUAGGUCGGAUUAGCUGGUUGGUGGGGUAAAGGCCCACACUGGCGACGAUCCGUAACUGGUCUGAGAGGAUGAUCAGUCACACUGGAACUGAGACACGAACCAGACUCCUACGGGAGGCAGCAGUGGGGAAUAUUGGACAAUGGGCGAAAGCCUGAUCCAGCCAUGCCACGUGUGUGAAGAAGGUAUUCGGAUUGUAAAGCACUUUAAGUCGGGAGGAAGGGCUGUAGGCGAAUACCCUGUUAUUUUGACGUUACCGCGUAGAAGCACCGGCCGUGUAUUCGUGCCAGCAGCCGCGGUAAUACCGUGAUGGGUGCAAGCGUUAAUCGGAAUUACUGGGCGUAAAGCGCGAGGUGGUUUGGUAAGUUGGAUGUGAAAGCCCUGGGCUCAACCUGGGAACUGCAUCCAAAACUGCCUGGCUAGAGUACGGUAGAGGGUGGUGGAAUUUCCUGUGUAGCGGUGAAAUGCGUAGAUAUAGGAAGGAACACCAGUGGCGAAGGCGACCACCUGGACUGAUACUGACACUGAGGUGCGAAAGCGUGGGGAGCAAACAGGAUUAGAUACCCUGGUAGUCCACGCCGUAAACGAUCGCGACUAGCCGUUGGGCUCCUUGAGAGCUUAGUGGCGCAGCUAACGCAUUAAGUCGACCGCCUGGGGAGUACGGCCGCAAGGUUAAAACUCCCAUGAAUUGACGGGGGCCCGCACAAGCGGUGGAGCAUGUAUGGUUCAGUAAAGCAACGCGAAGAACCUUACCUGGCCUUGACAUCCUGCGAACUUGGUAGAGAUACCUUGGUGCCCACAGUCGAGCGCAGAGACAGGUGCUGCAUGGCUGUCGUCAGCUUGUCGUGAGAUGUUGGGUUAAGUCCCGUAACGAGCGCAACCCUUGUCCUUAGUUACCAGCGAUUCGGUCGGGCACUCUAA